rnacentral:lncRNA from 1 species
GCGGCCGCCCCGUCGCGCCAGCGUGCGGAGAAACCUGGCGCCGCGACCAGUGUAUCGGGGGUCUUGGAAAUGGCUAAGAAAGCUGGCCUCUGCCUAGGAGGCUCUCGGCAGGGGGGCUGCCAAUCCGGGAUGGUUACCGGAAAUGAACCGCGCGAUCUGGCCCUUUCACACCCACUUAGCUUUGUAGGGGGUUUGUAGUCUUUACAGGACAAAAGGGCACCUAUUCCAGAGCACACCCCCUUUUCUUCCUCUCCCUUCUGUGCCUCACUGCUUUCCGAUCUCAUAGUUGCUCCCAGUAAGUGCUCCAAAGUCGUGUGGGGCCGCAUCUGAGGUCUGCCCGCCUGAAUUGGGUUGGAGGGGUUCAUGUUCUGAGAAGGCGAAGGCCAGGGUGUAGGAUGGUGCCCCGUGACUUUCCAGUCUUUGUAGGCGUGCCUGGUAUCUUCAUCGUAAUAGCAGAGUCGUCAACUUUCUAUGAAAGAAAAAGAACAGCAAGAAGCGAUUGAACACAUUGAUGAAGUACAAAAUGAAAUAGACAGACUUAAUGAACAAGCCAGUGAGGAGAUUUUGAAAGUAGAACAGAAAUAUAACAAACUCCGC